rnacentral:rRNA from 1 species
UACAGAGGUGGCAAGCGUUGUUCGGAAUUACUGGGCGUAAAGGGCGCGUAGGCGGCCUACUAAGUCAGACGUGAAAUCCCCCGGCUUAACCUGGGAACUGCGUCUGAUACUGGAAGGCUUGAGGAUGGGAGAGGGAUGUAGAAUUCCAGGUGUAGCGGUGAAAUGCGUAGAUAUCUGGAGGAAUACCGGUGGCGAAGGCGGCAUCCUGGACCAUUACUGACGCUGAGGCGCGAAGGCGUGGGGAGCGAACGGG